rnacentral:rRNA from 1 species
AGUUCGGAUUGUAGGCUGCAACUCGCCUACAUGAAGCUGGAAUUGCUAAUAAUCAUAGGUCAGCAUACUAUGGUGAAUACGUUCCCGGGCCUUGUACACACCGCCCGUCACACCAUGAGAGUUGAGAAUACCCGAAGUCCAUGUCAAAGUGGCCGAAGGUAGGCUUGAUGAUUGGGGUGAAGUCGUAACAAGGUACC